UGAUGGUGGAGGCUAAAGCAACUGUACCUUCCAGGCUUAUCCAUCAUGUGGACUUCUAAUUAACCUCAGUUCCCGGGAUGCCUCUAAGAUUUCUACAUUAUCUACUGUUAAGAGCAAGUAAUUACUGCAAAUCUGCCCUUGGGUCAAAACAACCUGGAUGGCAUAUUCCUUCUGAAGCACAUAUACUCUUUCCCUAGCUGCCUGCCCUGCAGACUUCAGUCUCCAGCAUCAGACACAGAGACCCAGCAUUAUGGAGACUGUCUAGCCAGAUCUCACAAUUGUGGAAGAUCUCAACUCCUACAAUAAAUCUCUUAAAAACCA